UUACAACACGAAUCAUCUAGUAAGAUAAAUAGAUUACUUUGGAAAUCAUUACUUUUCUUACUGUCUUUGCAGAAACAGCAGGCACAACAGAGCUCAGAGAAGCUGGGAUAAGGAAAAGGUUUCCACCCUCAAUCAUGGGCUAGAACUAACUGGAAGCCAGGCUGCCCAGCCCAGCGCUGAGGACGGGAGGAGGUGGAAGUAAACCGGGCCGCCGGCUGUGCAGAGCUGCUGGGACUGGGGCGCAUCGGCACGGUAACGAGGUUUUCUGCAUCAUUAUGCACAUGAUGUCACUUCUAAUAAUGAAGUUCAAGCCAGUUUCCAGCCCUGGGCACACAGAGUACACGUGUAGAGAGCUGACUUCUGCAGGACCAUGUCUCCUCAUUGCAAGUCAACCAGCAUCUGAGCUCAGCCUCAGUUCCACAAGGUGAGAAACAGCUUUGAGUACACACAACCAGCCUUGAGCAUAGGUACAAGGGAAAUUAAUGAAGGAAACACCCCCUCCUGUGCCCUAAAUUGCUAAUUUCAAUGCACCCACUGCAUCAGGGCUGUCUGAGAGCCCCCAGCCCAGUGUCAUUGCUAAUGUUACAGCUAAUGCUGUUAUGAUCAAAUAAUAUUAAUAAC